rnacentral:lncRNA from 1 species
AUAACGGCGACCGUGAAGACUUUUAAAAUAGAGACCAACGUGGCCGGGCAGGAAGAGCAGGGUCCCGCCUUCAGGUGUUUGGGACUCAGCUGAGGGUGUGGGUGCCCCGCGGUGGGGGCUGAACCUUCCUGGGGUGUGGAGAGACGAAAGGAGCCCAGAUCCAAGUUCCCUCGUUCCCGCUUUGGCAUAAGUUGCCCUGGCGGUCUCAUGAGAGAGAGAAAGAGCUGGGACCCUCCUCGCCCCAUGUAACAUCAGACAAGGGUGUUGACUCUGCAGCACAGAACCAGUAGUUUGUGGAGAAGAAUGGAGGUGUGGUGUUGAAUCUGCUAGACAGGCUACUGAAGCAAAAGUCAAGAGAUCCAGAUUCCAUCAUGGGGACACUUUAGUUCUUCAUCGGGUAAUUGAGCUGAUAUCAGGUGUCUGAAGGAGGCAAGUUUUGAAGAUGUGGGUCAUGAUGGCUGCUGAAGCUUCCACUCCAUAUUUGAAGGUCAGCAGUUCUCAGGAAACCUCUAGCACUUCCAUCCCUGGUGGGAUGUGAUGCCUGUCUCAGUGUAACAUCAGAGAAGGGGUGUACUCUGUGCCCUAGAACUAGGAGCUAACAGAGAAAAACCAAAUGUGAUGUGGAGUCUGCUAGACAGGCUACUGGAGCAAGAGUGAAGCGAUGAAAGUCUCAUCAUUGGGACAUAUUAGGGAGGCAGCAGGUGGCUGAAAUCCUGGUGUGAUGUGGCUGGAUCAUGCAUGAUCUGAGGACUCCUGCACAGAUGCAGUGGAUCCCCAGGUUGCAAGUCAUAUAACCUGAGCAUGCCCAGAUGAACCAAGUAUGCCUGAUUGGUGAACCUGGAACUGGCCAGAACAGAAAAUGUCAACCACAUGUGGAAUCUAAGUAUUCAGAUUGAGAAAUGAGGACCAAAAUGAGAACACUGAGCUCCUCACACAGGUGACUGAACCCGUGGUUUUGGUGUCUGAGAAGAUGCAGCUUCUCCAGUCUCUGCAACUGACGGCAGGAAGAUGGGAGCACUCAGCUUCAGUGUUCAGAAGCAGAUUUAGGCCAAUUGCCAUACCUUACGUUCUGGAGGGAUCCACCCUGACCUGAGCAGAAGGCAUCACACACAUUCCCAAGCAGCAUGGUUCCCGUGAGAAACUGAAAACUAAUUUCUUGAAUCUACAAUGCGACUUCCAUCUUCCAGGUGUAACCAGAGUUUUUCCUGGAGCGAUUCCAGCUUGUUUCCUUUUGGUGCCUUCCUUAAGAAAUUUUGCAGCUGUUUCUGGUGCAGUUUUUGGGUGGGCUCUGGGGUGGGCAGACGAUCUCCACUUUGCAGAGGCUGCUCUUGUGAGUGGAGCUGGUGGUGAGGGAGUAGGAGAGGCCUCGCAUCAUCCUGGCAUUCAGGCCCUUAGCCAUGGAGAAGGACUUGAGGUGGCUUCUUAAGGUACUGGGGAGCGGGAGCUUGUCCACCAGAUGCACAGGUGUGCAGGACACGAUGGUGCGGCAGCAGAGGUCUUGCAAGCUCAGUACCUUGCUCGGCCUCCCGAGCCAAUUCAUCCUGUGCCGCAGCAGCACUAUCCUGGCCAGCUCCGUGAAAGACUCUAUGAUGUUGAAAUUGCACAGAGGGCUGACCUCAAAGAAGGUCACACCCAGGCGCUCGGCGUAGGCCUGGGCCUGCUCCCUGGGCACCUGCCUCUUGAAUGCCAGAUGUAGGCGAUUCCCCACCAGGAUUUUAGGGACACCAGGGGCAUGUUCCUCAAUCUUCUUAAUCCAUCGAUCCAUACCCUCGAAAGACCAGCGGUUUGCAAUGUCGUAGACCAGGAUCACUCCUUGUGCACCACGAGAGUAGGAGCGGAAUAUGGUACAAAAUCUUCCCUGCCCCGACGUAUCCCAGAGCUUCAGCUUCACCCGCUGGCCGUCCAGCAGGAUGGUGGUCGUCUUGUAGUCGAUCCCCCCGAGAUGGCUGUACGGGGACUCAGCUGCACCAUCCUGCAGGCUCUCCAGGAUCUCACUCUUGCCUACGUCCCUGUCGCCCACCAGCAGGAACUUGAGCAGGAAGUCAUAGGCCUGGUCGGGGCUGCCCGGGGCGCUCAUGGUGCUGGCCCCGCACUCCCGCCUGAGCCAGGCCCGCGGGGUUGUGCGCAGAGGUGGUGCCGGGCCUGUUCUUCUUGAGAAAUUAGCAUAGAACAUAAAAAAUGAGAUGGGGAAGUCUGUGAAAUAAAGCGAAAUGAGGUGGUGGC